UACGAAGGGGGCUAGCGUUGUUCGGAAUUACUGGGCGUAAAGCGCGCGCAGGCGGCCUUUCAAGUCAGUGGUGAAAGCCCGGAGCUCAACUCCGGAACUGCCAUUGAAACUGUUUGGCUUGAGUACGAGAGAGGUGAGUGGAAUUCCCAGUGUAGAGGUGAAAUUCGUAGAUAUUGGGAAGAGCACCGGUGGCGAAGGCGGCUCACUGGCUCGUUACUGACGCUCAGGCGCGACAGCGUGGGGAUCAAACAGG
rnacentral:rRNA from 1 species